GCUACCGCUUGUGGCGAUGGUUCCCGUGCCACAGAAUCUUGUGUCCGGGAUGAAAAGGGAACACGGUGCGGCCUGCGCAUAAACAGGCCAAUUCCGCGGCUGCCCCCGCAACUGUAAGCGGCGAGCGACCCCGAUAGAGCCACUGGCCCGACAAGAGGCCGGGAAGGAUCGGGAGAGCGACGACCCGCAAGUCAGGAGACCUGCCAUCAGACGUGUAACUCG
rnacentral:ncRNA from 2 species